rnacentral:rRNA from 1 species
AGUGAACGCUGGCGGUAGGCCUAACACAUGCAAGUCGAACGGCAGCACAGUAAGAGCUUGCUCUUACGGGUGGCGAGUGGCGGACGGGUGAGGAAUACAUCGGAAUCUACUUUUUCGUGGGGGAUAACGUAGGGAAACUUACGCUAAUACCGCAUACGACCUACGGGUGAAAGCAGGGGAUCUUCGGACCUUGCGCGAAUGAAUGUGCCGAUGUAGGAUUAGUUAGUUGGCGGGGUCAAGGCCCACCAAGGCGACGAUCCGUAGCUGGUCUGGGAGGAUGAUCGGCCACACUGGAACUGAAACACGAUCCAGACUCCUACGGGAGGCAGCAGUGGGGAAUAUUCGACAAUGGGCGCAAGCCUGAUCCAGCCAUACCGCGUGAGUGAAGAAGGCCUUCGGGUUGUAAAGCCCUUUUGUUGGGAAAGAAAAGCAGCAAGUUAAUACCCCGCUGUUCUGACGGUACCCAAAGAAUAAGCACCGGCUAACUUCGUG